rnacentral:rRNA from 1 species
UGCCUUAGUAACUGCGAGUGAAGCGGCAAAAGCUCAAAUUUGAAAUCUAACGUCUUUGGCGUUCGAGUUGUAAUUUGGAGGGGCAUCUUCGGAGUUGGCGCCGUCCUAAGUUCCUUGGAACAGGACGUCAUAGAGGGUGAGAAUCCCGUGCCUGGAUGGCUGUCCAUCUCCAUGUGAAGUGUCUCCGACGAGUCGAGUUGUUUGGGAAUGCAGCUCAAAAUGGGUGGUAAAUUUCAUCUAAAGCUAAAUAUUGGCGAGAGACCGAUAGCGCACAAGUAGAGUGAUCGAAAGAUGAAAAGCACUUUGAAAAGAGAGUUAAAAAGUACGUGAAAUUGUUGAAAGGGAAGCGCUUGAGACCAGACUCAAUCUUUGGUGAUCAGCUGUGCUUCUGUACAGUGCACUUGCCUUUGAUUGGGCCAGCAUCGGUUCUGACGGCGGGAUAAAAGGUUGAGGAAUGUGGCUCUCUUCGGGGAGUGUUAUAGCCUCAGUCAUAAUGCCGCCAGUUGGGACCGAGGACCGCGCUUCGGCUAGGAUGCUGGCGUAAUGGUCUUAAGCGACCCGUCUUGAAACACGGACCAAGGAGUCUAACAUCUAUGCGAGUGUUCGGGUGGAAAACCCUUGCGCGUAAUUAAAGUGAACGGAGGUGGGAACCCCUCGGGGUGCACCAUCGACCGAUCCUGAUGUCUUCGGAAGGAUUUGAGUAAGAGCAUAGCUGUUGGGACCCGAAAGAUGGUGAACUAUGCCUGAAUAGGGUGAAGCCAGAGGAAACUCUGGUGGAGGCUCGCAGCGGUUCUGACGUGCAAAUCGAUCGUCAAAUUUGGGUAUGGGGGCGACAGACUAAUCAACCAUCUAGUAGCUGGUUCCUGC